GGAGUCUGGACCGUGUCUCAGUUCCAAUGUGGCCGUUCAUCCUCUCAGACCGGCUACUGAUCGUCGCCUUGGUAGGCCGUUACCCCACCAACCAGCUAAUCAGACGCAGACCCGUCGCAAAGCGAUAGCUUACAAGUAGAGGCCAUCUUUAAUCAUCUCUCCAUGCGGAGAAAUGACAACAUUCGGUAUUAGCAGUCCUUUCGGACUGUUGUCCCCAUCUUUGCGGCAGGUUGUCUACGCGUUACUCACCCGUUUGCCACUCGACUUUCAAAAGCAAGCUUUCAAUCGUCUCGUUCGACUUGCAUGUGUUAAGCACGCCGCCAGCGUUCGUC
rnacentral:rRNA from 1 species